rnacentral:lncRNA from 1 species
UCGAUUCUGCAUAUUCAACUUCCGUAAGGAUGUCAGAUUCCCUGCCAGUUAGUCUCUCCAGCUUUUGAUGAAGGUUAUCCAUCUUCCCACGAACACUAGCGGAAGUGUAAGGACUGACCAUUUGAACCGCGGCUAACACCGUGUCCAUUCCUGCAACCUGAAAGGACAAAUUUACCCAAAACCUUUAAAGAGAGAUUCUCGAUCAGAUUGCCUUUUUGAAUGCGAUCUUUCUAUUGAGAUCAUAUCUACCGCACCCAACCAAACAUGUCUUUUUUUUACCAAACUACGGUUUGCAUGCCAUUUUUUUUUGGGAUUAAGAUAUAAAUAAUCCUUAAACUUUCAAUUUACUUAAUAUGACCCAUGAAUUUUAGCUUAGUAUUCAAUAUUGUCCUUAAACUUUUAAUUUAUUUAAUAUAAUAUCUGGACUUUUGAUAUAUGUUCUAUGUAGUUCAUGAAUUUCAAAAUAGUCAUUUCAUUAUAUUUGUAUAUUCAAUGAACUAAAUUGAACAAAUUAAAAAUUCAGAAUCGUGUUAAAUAAAUUAAAAGUUUGGUAAUUAUUAUGUUUCGGAAAUAAGUUUUGCUAACAAAUGGUUUUUUCUUAUUCUUUUCUCUAGAUGAAUUUUUGAGCAUUUGAAGGCGCUUAUUAAGUGUCCAAAAUUUAUAUUCCCCAAAUAAAAGUACGUUCGAUAUGAUUCUCAAAAAAAUUUUGACUUAUAAUUUCUUUUAUUUUUUAAUAAUUUUAUUAUAUAUUUUUACUUCUUCUUCGAUCACUAACCUCUACCAUAACUAGUGAUUAGCCAGACGAGGCCCAACGACCUCGUUGGAGCGUUGUCGGUCCUUAGAGAGGUCGUCAACCCGUGCCUUGCCAUCGCUGGGCAAGGUUAGGCUUGCCCAGAUCUUGCAAGGCCAAUCUUGCUCCAGCUGCUUGCCAUCACCAAGGGUGGCAACUCGCAAAAGGAAGAAAAAAAGAAAAAAGAAAAAAAAGGAAGUUGUUUUGAUUUUGAAGUUAUUUUCGAGAGAGAAAAAAGAGCAGCUUUUUUCUUAAUUCUAUUCUAAACCUAUUUUCUUAAAUAAAAAGUUACCUAAUAAAUUUAUGUUCUAAUCUUAUAUGUCAAAAAACUCGAACAACUCCGGUAGAUCAAGAAUACAAGGACAAAUCAACUCUGUCUAUAAGUUUAUGACGCUACUAGAAGGCAAACGCACCCAGCCUUCGCUCAUUGAUUCACAUUUCAUGCGUGCGAAAGGAAAUGGGCUUUAGCUAUCUAAAGAGAGAAACGACGAGCGUACCUGGAGCCAACCGCACCAGUGCUUGUGGAAGAACUUCCGAAGAACUGGAUGCAAAGAGAGAAGACAGACGGUGAUUCUGCUACUCAAAUUCAAUAGAGAGAGCGAAUGACUGGUGUAGGUUUGCGGAGAAGGGGAAACUGCUUUAUGGCCUCGGAGGACUUGAAAAAACAGAGCAUUGACUUCAAGU